rnacentral:tRNA from 1 species
AGCCUGGUUAGCUCAAUCGGUAGAGCGUGAGACUCUUAUGAGUUCACUUUCUCAGAAAGCGAUUGAUUUAAGCACAAUCUCAAGGUUGCGGGUUCGACCCCCGCAUCGGGCUU